rnacentral:rRNA from 1 species
GUACGCGACUGCCAAGUGCACAGAGGGUCUGCGGAUGGCUCAUUAAAUCCAGUAUUCAUCCACCCAGCUGAGUUUGAAAGGCGGUAUUGACACAAGCGCCAGUGCCUGCCAAGAGGCCACGUGGCUACCCGUUCCAAAUGGAUGGCUAAUACAUGGAAGACGAAUGCUUUGUUGGGCUUCCGGGUCUUCGGGCCUGGGGCCAGCGUGCGAUUGCUUUCUGUUUGGGUUCGUCCCAGGCGAUUUGAUCGAACUACUGCGGAACGGGCAUGCGGUUGAUCGACACGAAAGACCAGCGCCAUCUCGGGCCCGCUCGUCGGUGCCCUGGCAGCUUGCAUUGAUGAUUCAGAUCCACUGUGUUGUUGAGUGAAAGCAGAGUGACUGCAGUUUGGUCGCUGCAUCACUGGACGAAAUCCUGUCCUAUCAGCUGACGAUUGAGGUGUCGUGGACCCCAAUGGCCUUCACGGGUGACGGGGGAUGUGGGUCUGAUCCCGGAGAGGGGGCCUGAGAAAUGGCCACCACGGCUAAGGCCGGCAGCAGGCGCGCAAAUUGCCCAUUGCAGAUACGUGUUUGUGAGGCAGCGACGAAGAAUAGCAACGGUGCCCACUCUGGCACCGUGAGCACCGUUUGCAAUGGAUGAUUCUCAAACCUCUCAGUGAGUAUCAACCGGAGGGCAACUCUGGUGCCAGCAUCCGCGGUAAUUCCAGCUCCAGCAGUGUAUACAAAUGUUGCUGCUGUUAACGCKCGUAGUCGAUGGCAGAGCAGCGAGUGCACUUGACCGGGGCCUCUCUCGUCUCAUGGGCCAUUCGUGUCCUGGGGCGGCAGGGACGGCGUGUGGAGGGGCCUUCCAUGGUCCAGCCCCCGCCAACUCGGUCGAUCUGGCUUGCUGUUCGCCACACAUGGAACUGGAACUCUCGUUGGCACAUUCUUGGGUGAAUCGUGAAAGCAGCCUUCGCACCGAAAGCAUGCGCUGGCUCAUCUGUGGGGCGUCCGUGGCAGUCACUAUGAACAAAACAGCGUGUCCAAGGCGACCGAUCUGAUCGGUUGCAUGACCAAGCAUGGGAUGACAAGGGAUCGACCAACGGUGCGGGAUAUUCUCAUGGCUCUUACAUUCUCGGUGGGCAAUGCGAGGCAAGCACUGAGUCUUUUCCCCAAGGGCGGUGUGUGGCGCUCCGGCGUUCGCCUGUCUGCGGGGGGCUCUUUUGAUGCUUGCCAUCGGCCGGCAGUGAUGAGCGUCCUCGGGGUUGUGCGUACCGUGGGGCGAGAGGUGAAAUUCUUAGACCCUCACGAGACGAACCGCAGCGAAGGCGUUCAGCAAGUGCACGUCUGUCGAUCAAGAACGAGAGUGUGGGGAUCGAAGAUGAUCAGAUACCGUCGUAGUCCAUUACCGUGAACUAUGCCAGCUUGGCAUGAGGUUGGUCUUCCCAUCAAGACACCAACUUCGUGCUCCUCCCCUCAUCGAGAAAUCCAAGCCUAUGGGUUCAGGGGGGAGUACGGUCGCAAGGCUGAAACUUAAAGGAAUUGACGGAAUGACACCACCAGGCGUGGAGUAUGCGGCUUAAUUUGACUCAACACGGGGAAUGUUACCAGGGCCAGACGCUGUGAUGAUUGACAGAUUGAGAGCUCUUUCUUGAUCCUUUGAAAGGUGGUGCAUGGCCGUUUCUGGUUCGUGGAGUGAUUUGUCUGGUUGAUUCCGAUAACGAGCGAGAUCUUUGCCUCUCAAUAGCUUCCCGUCUCGAUCCAGUCGAGCGAUCCCGGUCUGGACUGUGGUGUUUGGGGGCUCUCGUCCCCUUCGCUGUACGACCGUUCCGGUGGCGUCGCUCAAGAGGCGGGUCACACUUCUUGAGGAU